rnacentral:rRNA from 1 species
AACGAACGCUGGCGGCAUGCCUAACACAUGCAAGUCGAACGAGAUCUUCGGGUCUAGUGGCGCACGGGUGCGUAACGCGUGGGAAUCUGCCCUUCGGUUCGGAAUAACUCAGGGAAACUUGAGCUAAUACCGGAUAAUGACGUAAGUCCAAAGAUUUAUCGCCGAAGGAUGAGCCCGCGUAGGAUUAGCUUGUUGGUGGGGUAAUGGCCCACCAAGGCGACGAUCCUUAGCUGGUCUGAGAGGAUGAUCAGCCACACUGGGACUGAGACACGGCCCAGACUCCUACGGGAGGCAGCAGGUGGGGAAUAUUGGACAAUGGGCGAAAGCCUGAUCCAGCAAUGCCGCGUGAGUGAUGAAGGCCGUUAGGGUUGUAAAGCUCUUUUACCCGGGAUGAUAAUGACAGUACCGGGAGAAUAAGCUCCGGCUAACUCCGUG